AACCGUGCAAAGGUAGCGUAAUCACUUGUCCCCUAAAUAGAGACCUGUAUGAACGGUUAACUGAGGAUAAAACUGUCUUUUGCGGCCAAUCAAUGAAACUGAUCUCCCAGUACAAAAGCUGGAAUAAACCCACAAGACGAGAAGACCCUGCGGAACUUCAAGUAAUUAUACUACCACACAAACCUAUUACCGUGACUGCAAUAGUAUAAACUUUAAGUUGGGGCGACUGUGGAGAAAAAGAAAACCUCCAUGAAACAAACUAAUCACCACAAGACACACGUGUCAAGUUGAUGUAAACUAUUGACCCAGUAUAACUGACUACCGAACCAAGUUACCCCAGGGAUAACAGCGCCAUCCCCUUAAAGAGUCCAUAUCGCCAAGGGGGCUUACGACCUCGAUGUUGGAUCAGGACCCCCAGAUGGCGCAGCCGCUAUCAAAGGUUCGUUUGUUCAACGAUUAAAGUCCUACGUGA
rnacentral:rRNA from 1 species